UCCUCCAUGGCGCAAUUGGCUAGCGCGUCUGACUGUUACUAAGUACGCUUAGUUAAGCAAUCAGGAGGUUGACAGUUCGAGCCUGUCUGGAGGAG
rfam:Thielavia terrestris NRRL 8126 chromosome 4, complete sequence.